rnacentral:rRNA from 1 species
GGUGGCGGGUGGCUGGUGGCUGGGGGUUAAAGGCCGAUCAAAGCGGGAGAUGGCGGGUUCUCCCCGACAGCUAUUUAGGUGGCGCCUCGUGAAUUCAUCUCCGGGGGUAGAGCACUGUUUCGGCAAGUGGCUCAUCCCGACUUACCAACCCGAUGCCACCUGCGCCUACCGUAGCAUGUUCUCACGGGAGACCCACGGCGUGUGCUAACGUCCGUCGU